CAUUUACAACCACUAAAUGCCUUUUUUGCGUCAGAAUAGAUUUUUCCUUCUGAAUAUUGCCAGAAUUGGUCAAGAUAACAACCGAUUUCAUUCAUAGAAAUGAACAAAUUGCAAAAAUCAAACAAUACCGAUUCACGAUAUAUCAUCGUACCGUGAAAUUAUCUUUGAGAUGAGAAUUGUAUCAGUUUCUUGAAAAGACUAAUUUUGCAGCGCAUUUAGGACACACAGCUAUACUUUGUUUUAUGAAACAAG
rnacentral:lncRNA from 1 species